CUCCAGGCCUAGUGAGACAUGGCAGAGGCCAGGGCAGGGAGAAUGUGAGGCUGGGGCGAGGGUCUAUGACGAGGCCGCCUGACGCCUCAGCACCAGGUGGACACAGUUGUGUGCAUGUCCCUCUUGGCCAAUGACAGGUCCGGUUCAGGUGGCCCUUGCCCAGGGACAGAGGCUUCUCCUGGCUCCGUGCCUUCCAGCUUUCAGUCCUGGUGUGCACAGCGUCACCGGGCUUCCGAUAGCUGCCGGCCUCAACUCUGGGAGAGGGCAGGUGGGGCGGCAGGAGGUGCCUGUGCUUUCCUGGGCAUGAGCUGGCAUGAGAGGUGCACGUGCUCCUGCUCACCUGGGCGGCGCCUCUCAACUGUUAGGUGUGGGGUUAGGGUUCACCUGACGAUUUGCCGCAGUCCAGCGGACCCGAGAGUUGCGUGCAGAGCUGGGGUUGCGGUGCGAGUGGGGAAGGGUCUGAAGGUGUGGGUGUAGGGGGCUGUGCUGGGGCCUGCAGGCUGGGGUGUGCGGUGUGAGUGGGGUGCUUUUGUAGUCUAAGGGGUGAUGUGCCAGUCGUUGUGUGGUGUCAGGUGUCAGUCAUCGUGUGGUGUCAGGGUCUCUUCUACUCGGUGCUAAGGGCCAGCAGGAUGGAGAGGGGUAGGGGCUUCUCUGGGUCGAGGGCCACAGGGGGCUGGUGGGGGUGGGAGUGCUGAAUGCACAGGGUGAUGCUGGGCUGCGGGCAGCAGAUGUGCUGUGGACAGUCAGGGUCGGGUCACCUGCGGCGAGCGGGGCUUCUGUAGGUGCUCCCAGGGCCCUGGUGAUGUGGAAGCUGUUCUCAAAUUCUGGGGUGUUGUGCUGCGGUGGGCAUGUACCUAGGGUGUUAUCAAGGGCUGUGCCCACUUUUAGGGGCACUGGACAAGAGUCGGGGUGUCAGAGCAGCUGCUUGAGCUCGGCCCUUGGGGUGUCCUGCCCUGGGGGCGGCUGCAGGGCCGCUUGUGUCCCUGGGUGUUGCUGCCUGCUGUGCGGCCUUCCCAGUGAUGUUUGUGUGUGUGUGUGUGUUGGGGGGGUUCCAUGGGAAGCAGGCUGGGGGGCUGGGCUGCUCCGGGUUUCUGAGGCAACAGCAGGGAGGGGCCAGGAAACUGCAGCUCAGGAAGGAAGGCCGGCCUUGCAGGAGGGGGCCUGGGGCCAGCUUGGGCUGAGCAGGCGCCAGACAUUCUGUGCUGCGGCCCCGGCCCCCACUGGCUGGGAGCUCCUGCCCAAGUUCCACUGGCCCCACCCUUGUCUCCACCUCCAUGCUUGUAUGGCUGCCUUUAUUCAGACCUUGGUGGCUUGGGCUUGGGUCUGUGGGUAACCUGGUCCUGUGCUUAUGUGAUCCCCGG
rnacentral:lncRNA from 1 species